rnacentral:tRNA from 1 species
GGGGGGUGCUCUCAGAGGGGAAGAGCGUUGAUUUGCAUUGAGAAAGGGGAUGCCAAUCCACAUUGAUCAACGCUCGAACCUUCGGACUCAUAAUCCGUUGGUCGAUGGUUCAAGCCCAUCACGGCCUACCA